UACGAAGGGAGCUAGCGUUGCUCGGAAUCACUGGGCGUAAAGGGUGCGUAGGCGGCCGUGCAAGUCUGGCGUGAAAGCCCCGGGCUCAGCCCGGGAAGUGCGCUCGAAACUGCGCGGCUCGAGUGCCGGAGGGGAGAGUGGAAUUCCUGGUGUAGCGGUGAAAUGCGUAGAUAUCAGGAGGAACACCGGUGGCGAAAGCGACUCUCUGGACGGCAACUGACGCUGAGGCACGAAAGCGUGGGGAGCAAACAGG
rnacentral:rRNA from 1 species